rnacentral:rRNA from 14 species
UUUGUGUAGGAUAGGUGGGAGACGUUGAUGCGGCCACGCUAGUGGUGGUGGAGUCGUUGGUGAAAUACCACUCUGAUUGUUCUGGUUAUCUCACUGUGGACCGUGAUCCGGUUCAAGGACAGUGCCUGAUGGGUAGUUUGACUGGGGCGGUCGCCUCCUAAAGAGUAACGGAGGCGCGCGAAGGUAGGCUCAGGCUGGUCGGAAACCAGCCGUUCGAGUGCAAGGGCACAAGCCUGCUUGACUGCAAGAGCGACGGUUCGAGCAGAGACGAAAGUCGGCCCUAGUGAUCCGGUGGUCCCG